GACGAACGCUGGCGGCGUGCUUAACACAUGCAAGUCGAACGGAAAGGCCCUGCUUUUGUGGGGUGCUCGAGUGGCGAACGGGUGAGUAACACGUGAGUAACCUGCCCUUGACUUUGGGAUAACUUCAGGAAACUGGGGCUAAUACCGGAUAGGAGCUCCUGCUGCAUGGUGGGGGUUGGAACGUUUCGGCGGUUGGGGAUGGACUCGCGGCUUAUCAGCUUGUUGGUGGGGUAGUGGCUUACCAAGGCUUUGACGGGUAGCCGGCCUGAGAGCGUGACCGGGCACAUGGGGACUGAGAUACGGCGCAGACUCGUACGGGAGGCAGCAGUGGGGAAUAUUGCACAAUGGGCGGACGCCUGAUGCGGCAGCGCCGCGUGCGGGAUGACGGCCUUCGGGUUAUAAACCGCUUUCGCUUGUGACGAAGCGUGAGUGACGGUAACGGGUGAAGAAGCACCGGCUAACUACGUG
rnacentral:rRNA from 1 species